rnacentral:rRNA from 1 species
GAAUAGAUACCCGGGUAGUCCCAGCUGUAAACUAUGCAAACUCAGUGAUGCAUUGGCUUGUGGCCAAUGCAGUGCUGCAGGGAAGCCGUUAAGUUUGCCGCCUGGGAAGUACGUACGCAAGUAUGAAACUUAAAGGAAUUGGCGGGGGAGCACCACAAGGGGUGAAGCCUGCGGUUCAAUUGGAGUCAACGCC